CAUGAAAUUUACAUCUUUAUUCUCAUAAUCAUGGAUAUUUUCUUUUACGAACAUUUCAUUUAUAGGUUGUGGAUUGUGAAGACGUCCAAUUUGAAGAUCUGACGUUUUCUGAAAGUCUCUGUGAGAUUGCUCCUGAUCGACCAAAGGGAGCUGAAGCUGCUUCUGCAGUACCCAACCAGAUGCUACAGCCUCAACCUUCCAGCAGUGCAACAGAACUGGAUAUUAAUUCUCUUUACAUGCCUAGGCUUCCCUAUGUAGGUGAAGAGCAAAUUAAAGUCUAUGAAGACUAUGUGAUUGGUAGUGGUAACUUUGGAACUGUGUACAGGGGAUCCUACCAGGGGACAGUUGCUGCCAUUAAAAAAAUCCCCAUUCAAGGAUCUCUGAAUGACAUAACACA